AGGAGGUGCCGGGAGCGUUCCCUUCGCCCUCCAGCGCCCUUUAACCGGGCUCUCGUCUGAACCGUCAUCCUCUUGGCUUCUUGCAGUAUAGACUGUUUCUCAAGCAGUCCAGGUGUUUAAAUUUAAACAAACGUUCUUUUUCAGUGUUCUCUGUCUUUCUGAGAGGCUUCUUUGGAGAUGAAUGUUUUACGCUGGAAUGAAUGAAAUAAAACAGCUCAGAGGCAUAACUGAUUUCAGGGAGUUAUACAGGAAGCGAUCCUCUAUGGAUAUUUGGGAUCACGAUGUUGGUGUGACUGAUCUGAUACUGAAGUUAUGAUGUAGAUAAGAAGAGGGGUCAAAAAGCUUCCAAAUAAUGUCUUGCACUUCCAGCUUACUCCGGAGCAAAUAAGCAGGGAUCUGAAAAGUGAUUUCAUGUACCAUCUGGAGCAGGAUCAGGAAUUACAGAGGAUCCAAGAAGUGAGAGAGGCCUUACCUCUGAAGAAUUUUGAAAGUGAGAUUCUGGACGCAAUCCGUCACAAUUCUGUUGUUGUCAUCUGUGGUGCCACCGGUUGUGGCAAAACCAAAGUGCUCCAGUACAUUCCUGAUCUCUCUUCCCUCCUUCCAGCCCCUCUGCAAUCAUUCUUUUCAUGAGGAACAGUCAGGGCACGGGACACCUCGUGUGUCAGGCACAGGGACCAUCAGCCAGCAUUCAAAAUAAUGCACCUUUCAAUCUGACAGCAGGUGACUUGCGCAGUUGAGACCCCACCUGCAGAGCUGCCUGCAGCUCUGUGGCUCCCAACAUCAGGACAUGGAGCUGCUGGAGUGAAUCACCCCACACCUGGCCAAGAGACACUUCCAAGACAAAGUCCAAGAAGUGGGUAUUUGCUUUAUUCAGUGGGCUGGGAUCACUCCUCCUAACAGCGCACACCCAGGCACAUAGCAAAUUAAAAUAUAUGGUUAUACUUUAUGCACAUUGUUUUCCUUAGAAAAGGUGUGGUUAUGCAAAAUAUUUCUUAGCACGCAUCAUUAUCAGUAGCAUACGCGAAGCAAAGGCGCAGUGCAUCCUAGUGGUUACACUGAGAAAGGCUCCAUGUUUUCCUUGGUGGUUCUUUGAUGAAGGCUUGAUGUCUUCCUCACCAUUUUUUCACCUUUCUCCUCUAGGCAUGUGUUGUCUCUUGGCAGCUGUUUCAGUUAGUUCCUCACUGGUUUUAGCAAGCUUUGUCCUUCAUUUUAUGUUUAUUGCAAAACAUUUCAAGUUUUGUUCCCUAUUGCCAAGUUUCAUCCUGUGUUUUUAGCUUGUGGCCUGAUAUUUGCUAGCUUCUAUAUAGGUUAUGAUAAAUCUUAUUCUUGCCCAAGUAUGCCUAGGCCCAAUGCUUUUAACUCUUUCAGGAGCAAGUCCAGAGAAGGCCUUGAGGAGUCCCUCAAGGAGGCUAGAGUUCUCUGCUUUGGAGACAAGGCUGGGAGAGCUGGGGAUAUUCAGCUUGGAGAAAAGAAGGCUCAUAUGAGACCUUAGAACCCUUUCCAGUGCCUAAAGCGGCUCCAAGACAGCUGGAGAGGGACUUGUGACAAGGCCUGAAGUGAUAGGACAAGGGGGAAUGGCUUCCCACUGCCAGAGGGUAGAGUCACAUGGGAUAUUAGGAAGUUCUUCCUU
rnacentral:lncRNA from 1 species